rnacentral:rRNA from 1 species
UAGUCCACGCCGUAAACGAUGAGUGUUAGAUGUCCGAGGCAAACUUGGGUGUCCCAAGCUAACGCGAUAAACACUCCGCCUGGGGAGUACGUACGCAAGUAUGAAACUCAAAGGAAUUGACGGGGACCCGCACAAGCAGCGGAGCAUGUGGUUUAAUUCGACGCAACGCGAAGAACCUUACCAAGUCUUGACAUAACUUUGAAGUCCUUUAGAGAUAGAGGAUGCUUGACUUCGGUCAACAAAGCUAC